rnacentral:rRNA from 1 species
AUGAACGCUGGCGGCGUGCCUAAUACAUGCAAGUCGAGCGAACAGACGAGGAGCUUGCUCCUCUGACGUUAGCGGCGGACGGGUGAGUAACACGUGGAUAACCUACCUAUAAGACUGGGAUAACUUCGGGAAACCGGAGCUAAUACCGGAUAAUAUAUUGAACCGCAUGGUUCAAUAGUGAAAGACGGUUUUGCUGUCACUUAUAGAUGGAUCCGCGCCGCAUUAGCUAGUUGGUAAGGUAACGGCUUACCAAGGCAACGAUGCGUAGCCGACCUGAGAGGGCGACCGCCCACACGGGAACUGAGACACGGUCCAGACUCCUCCGGGAGGCAGCAGUAGGGAAUCUUCCGGAAUGGGCGAAAGCCUGACGGAGCAACGCCGCGGGAGUGAUGAGGGUCUUCGGAUCGUAAACCUCUUUUAUGAGGGAAGAACAAAUGUGUAAGUAACUAUGCACGUCGUGACGGUACCUAAUAAGAAAGCCACGGCUAACUACGUG